UAGGCAAAGGUUUGUAAUGUAUUAUGGCUGUAUCAAGAAGAGGCUAUUGACACAUUUGUGUGGUAUUUAGUGGAAAGGAACAAGAAAAGGGCUAAAUCAGUUGGUCCAAGUACCAGAGGGAGGUGCCUCUUGAAGAAGCAGCAUACAAAAACAGUGUCCAAGUUCUUAGUAUGCCUCCAAACUUGUCACCACGGUAUUACAGAUCGAAGUUGCAACCGCAGGCUUCAACAGGUACUAUUGUUCACAAUCAACUUGUGGAAAUUCAAGAAUUAUGGCAUUGCAUGUCUUCCAGAUUGCAAAUCACCCAUCUUCACCAUCCCUUGUUCAAAAGCUCUGAAGAACUCAGCUUGGUCUUCACUAAACAUCUUCACAU